rnacentral:rRNA from 1 species
GACGAACGCUGGCGGCGUGCUUAACACAUGCAAGUCGAACGGAAAGGCCCUGCUUUUGUGGGGUGCUCGAGUGGCGAACGGGUGAGUAACACGUGAGUAACCUGCCCUUGACUUUGGGAUAACUUCAGGAAACUGGGGCUAAUACCGGAUAGGAGCUCCUGCUGCAUGGUGGGGGUUGGAGAGUUUCGGCGGUUGGGGCUGGACUGGCGGCUUAUCCGCUAGUUGGGGGGGUAGUGGCUUACCAAGGCUGUGAAGGGUAGCCGGCCUGAGAGGGUGACCGGCGACCAUGGGCCUGAGAGAGGGAGCAGAAGGGUAUGGGAGGCAGCAGGGGGGAGUAUGGCGGAGCGGGGGGAAGCGUGAGGUGGCAACGUUGCGUGCGGGAUGCCGGGCUACGGGGGGUAAACAGCUUUCGCAGGUGACGAAGCGUGAGUGACGGUAACGGGUAAAGAAGCACCGGCUAACUACGUG